AUAAAAUACCUCAGGUGCCCUGUGGAGGCCUCAGACAGCCCUUUGAUGAACUCCAGACAUGCUCCUCAUUGGCUCAUUAUCUAGCUGUUUACCAGCCUU
rnacentral:lncRNA from 1 species